ACUCUCCCUCAAGGGCUUCGAC
rnacentral:miRNA from 1 species